GUGAAUUCUGAUUCAAACCCCAAAUUUAGGUGAGACGUUCUGCAUUUCAUCCAUUCCACCUGGAGUCAAGUCUGAGAGAGUUUGGAUCAUCUGCUUGAUGUGUUAUGAGAGGACAAGUUCUGAUCCCAUGUUGACUUUUCCUUACCCGGCUGGCUUCCCAUAGUCAGACGGUGUUUUCAUAGGAAAGGCAAAUUUAUUUUAUGUUUAAUCAGUCCUGAGGAGUUGAGCAGGUAUUCUCCACUUCAUAUGAGGAAACUGAGGCACAGACACGUUAAGUGGUAUGCCCAAGACUGCCCAGCUAAUAUUGGUUACAGCUGGAUCUGGAGAUUAUAGCUUCUGGGUCUACAUCCAGAAUUCUUUCCACCAUCCCACUCUACCUACUGGAAAAGAAAAUCCAAUUUUGUGUAAAUAAU